GAUGAAGAACGCAGCGAAAUGCGAUAAGUAGUGUGAAUUGCAGAAUUCAGUGAAUCAUCGAGUCUUUGAACGCACAUUGCGCCCCCUGGCAUUCCGGGGGGCAUGCCUGUCCGAGCGUCAUUUCUGCCCAUCAAGCGCGGCUUGUGUGUUGGGUCGUCGUCUCCUCCGGGAGACGGGCCCGAAAGGCAGCGGCGGUACCGUCCGGUCCUCGAGCGUAUGGGAGCUUUGUCACCCGCUCGAUUAGGGCCCGGUCGGCGCCAGCCGUCAACCCCAAUUUUUAUUCAGGUUGACCUCGGAUCAGGUAGGGAUACCCGCUGAACUUAAGCAUAUCAAUAAGCGGAGGA
rnacentral:misc_RNA from 1 species